rnacentral:rRNA from 1 species
GAGUUUGAUCAUGGCUCAGAUUGAACGCUGGCGGCAGGCCUAACACAUGCAAGUCGAGCGGAUGAGUGGAGCUUGCUCCAUGAUUCAGCGGCGGACGGGUGAGUAAUGCCUAGGAAUCUGCCUGGUAGUGGGGGAUAACGUUUCGAAAGGAACGCUAAUACCGCAUACGUCCUACGGGAGAAAGUGGGGGAUCUUCGGACCUCACGCUAUCAGGUGAGCCUAGGUCGGAUUAGCUAGUUGGUGGGGUAAUGGCCCACCAAGGCGACGAUCCGUAACUGGUCUGAGAGGAUGAUCAGUCACACUGGAACUGAGACACGGUCCAGACUCCUACGGGAGGCAGCAGUGGGGAAUAUUGGACAAUGGGCGAAAGCCUGAUCCAGCCAUGCCGCGUGUGUGAAGAAGGUCUUCAGAUUGUAAAGCACUUUAAGUUGGGAGGAAGGGCAGUAAGUUAACACCUUGCUGUUUUGACGUUACCAACAGAAUAAGCACCGGCUAACUUCGUGCCAGCAGCCGCGGUAAUACGAAGGGUGCAAGCGUUAAUCGGAAUUACUGGGCGUAAAGCGCGCGUAGGUGGUUCAGCAAGUUGGAUGUGAAAGCCCCGGGCUCAACCUGGGAAUUGCAUCCAAAACUACUGAGCUAGAGUACGGUAGAGGGUGGUGGAAUUUCCUGUGUAGCGGUGAAAUGC